GACGAACGCUGGCGGCGUGCUUAACACAUGCAAGUCGAACGGAAAGGCCCUGCUUUUGUGGGGUGCUCGAGUGGCGAACGGGUGUGUAACCCGUGAGUAUCCUGCCCUUUACUUUGGGAUAACUUCAGGCGAGUGGUGCUAAUACCUGCUAGCAGCUCCUGCUGCAUGGUGGUGUUUGGAAAGUUUCGGAGGUUGGGGAUGUACGCGCGGCUUAUGAGCUUGUUGGUUGGGUAGUUGCUUACCCAGGGUUUGGCGGGUGGCCGGCAUGAGAGCGGGAACGGCCACAUUGCGACUGAGAGACGGAGCAGAGGCGUACGGGAGGCAGCAGUGGGGAAUAUUGCACAAUGGGCGGAAGCCUGAGGCAGCAACGCCGGGAGCGGGAUGACGGCCAUCGGGUGGUAAACCGCUGUCGCCUGAGACGUAGCGGGAGUGACGGUAAUAGGUAAAGAAGCACCGGCUAACUACGUG
rnacentral:rRNA from 1 species